UACGUAGGUGGCAAGCGUUGUUCGGAAUUAUUGGGCGUAAAGAGCGCGCAGGCGGUCGUUCAAGUCGCGUGUGAAAGCCCCCAGCUCAACUGGGGAGGGUCACGCGAUACUGAUCGACUCGAAGGCAGGAGAGGGUAGUGGAAUUCCCGGUGUAGUGGUGAAAUGCGUAGAUAUCGGGAGGAACACCAGUGGCGAAGGCGACUACCUGGCCUGUUCUUGACGCUGAGGCGCGAAAGCUAGGGGAGCAAACAGG
rnacentral:rRNA from 1 species